rnacentral:rRNA from 1 species
GACGAAGGAUGCAAGCGUUAUCCGGAUUCAUUGGGUUUAAAGGGUGCGUAGGUGGACUGAUAAGUCAGUGGUGAAAUCUUUGGGCUUAACCCAAAAAUUGCCAUUGAUACUGUUGGUCUUGAGUAUAGUUGCCGUUGGCGGAAUAUGACAUGUAGUGGUGAAAUACAUAGAGAUGUCAUAGAACACCGAUUGCGAAGGCAGCUGACGAAACUAUAACUGACACUGAGGCUCGAAAGUGUGGGGAUCAAACAGG